GGAAAGAGAGGGAUUCGAACC
rnacentral:tRNA from 2 species